UACGAAGGGUGCGAACGUUAUUCGGAAUUAUUGGGCGUACAGGGUGCGCAGGCGGUGCACUAAGUCAACUGUCAAAUCCCCCAGCCUAACUGGGGAUCGGCGGUAGAUACUGGUGUGCUAGAGGGUGGAAGAGAGAAGUGGAAUUCUUGGAGUAGCGGUAAAAUGCGUAGAUCUCAAGAGGAACACCGAUGGCGAAGGCAGCUUCUUGGUCCACAUCUGACGCUCAUGCACGAAAGCGUGGGGAGCAAACAGG
rnacentral:rRNA from 1 species